ensembl:lncRNA
CUGUGUUUCUCCUGGGAACCUAAGAAUUUCAUUCAUGUCUAAAUCACAGCCAAAAAAUAGAAAGGAAAAAAAGUAGGAGAAAGAGUUCUUAAAUUACAAACAAGCACUCAGUCUAAGAGACCAAAAACAGGGUAGUCUUUAUUUAACUCAAAUUCAAAUCCAAAGGCAUUUGAACCUGAAUUUAUAAACAACAGAGGCAACACUCUUUCCCUGGACUUACACAUUCCAAGGACCUCUAGAGUUCUUCAGGCUUAAAGUACUACCCUUCCUCCUAAAGGAUGAAUUACUGGCUUAAAAUCACCUCCCCUGAACUAAGGCAACUCAUAUUAGUUACAAGGGGACAAAUCAAGGUUGUUGAAACAUUGUUGUUUGUUGUUCUUUGGGUUGGUCUAGGAACUGCCCCACUGCUCCUUGAUCAACACAAGAAUAUCUCCCUUGGCUCUGGAAGAACUGGUCCUGUUACUGCUUUAUCUGACACAAAGUCCCUGCCAUCUUAUGGCCUCUUCCUUUAGCCUUGGGAGGAUGCCCUGGAGGAUUUUUUGAUUUAUUGAAGGGACUUCAUGGACACACAGAUAUCUUUCUGGAGCUCAUUCUGAUUUUGUAUGUCACACAAAACUUUUUUCCAAAACCGGAAACUUUUGUUGUCAAAAGAAUUGAGCUUCUCCUUCGAGCCGGAAUCGAACCAGCGACCUAAGGAUAACCAAGGGCGGGCACCUCUACAGUCCUCCGCUCUACCAGCUGAGCUAUCGAAGGAAGCUGCAAACCCUUGCCCAGGACGACACCAUAAAGCAGCUACGCUGCCUCCUCUCUUCCCACAUGCUGCCUGCCUGCCUGCCUGCCUGCCUGCCAGUGUUUCUCCUAGCUCUCGGAGAAGAAAAUACUUCCACCCCCUCUCCUCUUUCUUCUCUCUCACCUCCCCGCAGCAUCUCCCUGAUAUCGCUGAUGGGUCCUGGAGAAGCUUUCCACAAACUCCCUGGCCGAGCGCCUGUCCUAGGGACCCGAAGGGGGUGGGACGGUCGGAGAGGCUGCUGGGGAGGGGAGGGGGCCUUUAAUCUAGAGGGGCUCUUAUUCUAGAGUGUAGAUUUACCUUGCGUAGGGGAUUUCUAGAAAAUGGAUUGUUCUUAAAAACAAAGCGCCACGUGGGAACUUCGCCCAGAGACCCCUCCCAAGCCGGCGAAAGGCCUUGCUUUGGACUCCUCGUUUCCCUGUUCUCUAUUCGUACUUCGCCUUCUCUUCUCUCCUUAGCUUUUUCUUCAUCCCUGUCUUGCUGACUUCCUCUCUGUUUCCAUCUAUCCGUCGUCUCUCUUCUCUCUGGCCUGUCUCUUCUUUCUUUUCUCUCAGUCUCUACCUCUUUUGUCUUUUUAUUCUAUCAUUGCCCCUUUCUCCGUUUCUGCUCUCUUGCCUUCUCGGUUUCUUCCGUUUCUCUCUCUAGCUGUCUUCCCUCUGCCCAUUUCUUCUUUCUGUCUCGUCUCCUUAGCUGAGUGUUCCCCCUCUGUCUUUGUCUCUUUUCUCUUUGUUUCUCUCUAGCCGUUUCUUCUCGAUUUCUACUUUCUCUUUCUUCCUGACUCUGCCACUAUCUCGUUAUAGAGGUGGCCCUGAUCAACCUUUUAUGUAUUUUUUCAUUGAUCAAGUACAGUAUUCUCCUCUCCCCCCGGGAACAAAAGGAAAAGAAAACUCCAGGAGCAAAUAUGCGCCGCUUCCUUUUAGGGCGUCCCAGCCUUCUUUGGAGUGGAGGGAACUCUUCGGUUUCUUGGUCUACUGAAGCAUCAAACUCCAUUCCACAGCUAAGCGCUGCUGGGACCCUACGGACCUCCCAACUCCCUGCCGCCAAGGGGCUUAUAUUCCACUGGGAAAAUAUGUUCGUACACAGACUAGUUACUAAAGGUAAUUUGAGAAAAUACUCCCUUGCCCUCAAGAUGCUUAUAUUCCCUAGGAGAAGUAUCUAUAAAUACAGACAAGUAAAUAUAAGGGUUAUCUGGAAAGGUUUAUUUAAAUCUGAAAUCUCUACAACUGUACAGUGGAAGGAAAAAAAAUUGGAAAACAUUGUCUCCU